rnacentral:rRNA from 1 species
GAUGAACGCUAGCGGCGUGCUUAACACAUGCAAGUCGAACGAAGCACUUUAAUCGAUUUCUUCGGAUUGAAAUUUUAGUGACUGAGUGGCGGACGGGUGAGUAACGCGUGGGUAACCUGCCUCACACAGGGGGAUAACAGUUGGAAACGGCUGCUAAUACCGCAUAAGCGCACAGUACCGCAUGGUACGGUGUGAAAAACUCCGGUGGUGUGAGAUGGACCCGCGUCUGAUUAGCUAGUUGGCAGGGUAACGGCCUACCAAGGCGACGAUCAGUAGCCGACCUGAGAGGGUGACCGGCCACAUUGGGACUGAGACACGGCCCAAACUCCUACGGGAGGCAGCAGUGGGGAAUAUUGCACAAUGGGGGAAACCCUGAUGCAGCGACGCCGCGUGAGCGAAGAAGUAUUUCGGUAUGUAAAGCUCUAUCAGCAGGGAAGAAGAAAUGACGGUACCUGACUAAGAAGCACCGGCUAAAUACGUGCCAGCAGCCGCAGUAA